AUGAAGCUUUCCACUACUCAUAACCCACACUCCUGUCGUCGCCUCUCUCCUCGUGCCGCGCUGCCAGGUCUGGCCUCCUCGUGCACCCACCCCGACAUUGAGGCUCACGUAUUUUGGUGGUAUUACAAGAGCUCACAUCGGGAGUCUUCGCCAAUAAAGCCAUGGCCAACCAUCCUCUGGUUGGAGGGCGGUCCGGGGAUCAGGCCGCUGGAUGUCAACCUGAAGCCAUGCAAAUCAACAUGGCUGCAGAAGGCUGAUCUCAUAUUUGUGUACUUACCGGUGGGUGUCAGGUAUAGCUACGCGGAGGACCCAAGCGUGCUAACUACGACGGUCGUGCAAGUGGUUGCUGACGCCACCAAGCUCCUCAAGGCACUCACAAGGAGAUGCCUACCUUGCACAAAAGCCAAUUAUUCCUUGUCGGCGAAUCUUAUGGUGGCAAGCUUGCAACAACAUCGGCGUCUCGGUGGUAGAGGCCAUCCAUGGAUUUGCCAAAUUUUAGGUAUGGCAGCUACCAAACCUUGCCAUAUAGCUGGAUCCGCCCCCGGAGGUUCACGCAUUUUGGUGGUAUUACAAGAGAUCACAUCGAGUGUCUUCGCCAAUAAAGCCAUGGCCAACCAUCCUCUGGGAGGGCCGGGCGUUGGGGGUGGCAACUUCCAGGGGAUCAUGCCGCUGGAUGUCAACCUGAAGCCACACAACUUGACAUGGCUGCAGAAGGCUGAUCUCAUCUUUGUGGAGCAGCAGAGGUGCUGCAGAGGUCCCCGGCUCCACCUGAAGGCUCCAAGCGAACGAGCGGACGAGGUUGGCUCUCCUGGACAACACGAGCGGUCGGAGCGACGCCAGUGGCCGCGGUGGCGAUGGAGGAAGGCGGCGAUUCCGCUUGGUGCGGCGGAUCUGGAGAAGGGAGGCGAGCACGCUUCUUGUCCCAUCGCGCCGCCACCCGCUCAAUCCCCAUCAGGAUCACCCACAGCCAACCACCAUCCUCCCGUGCCUCCCUCGUUUUCCUCGGCGCCGCCUCCACACCGAUCCUCUUCCUUGGGAUCCAUCCCCGUCCAACCAUCACCCGGCCUCUGCUCGAUCCACCCAUCUAGCCUCGAGCCUCCUCUGCUUCACGCCUCCCGAGUAGCAACCAGGAGCCCGAGCUCCAUCUGCCACGCCCGCGACUUGCGCUAUCCCCGACCACCUCGUCCUUGGUGCUGCCUCCAGGAACCACCCGAGGAAAGAGCCUCGCACUCGUGUGCGAGCACACACAUGAGUUUCUGCGCCCGCGCCUCGACCCCGCCGCCACUCCCUCAACCGGACAUCGCCGCCGGCGACCAGCACUCCCAGGCCGGCCUCGCCUCCCUUCUCCUCCUGUCCCCUUCAUCCCUUGGUUCCUCUUCUCUUUCUCACUCUAGUAUCUCCCGCCCUCUUUGUUCUCACAGGAGAACGCCAUGGAAGCUGCAAGUAGCUCAAGCCCGCCGCCGGCCGCCCGCGACCGCCUCCUCCGCAUCUGCAUCGCCUCCCCGGAGCUCCGUACGUGUCGCUGCCGUCGACUCCGUGCAGCAGCCCAAGCGCUGUUCCGCGCCAUGCUGCCUCCUUCUGUCGGGAGCAGACAAAGGAAGCCGCCUCUACCGCGUCGUCCGCGCCCUUCCCCGCCUUAGAUCCGGCUGGAUCCACCUCCUCCUCCAGGCACGGCCCGUCCUGGCCUCCUCCGCCGUGCCCGCUGCUGCAAGUCCGUCGCCGCGCCACAUCUCCUCUGCAACAAGCGGCAGCUGCAACCGCUGCAACUGCCCCACGCCGUUGACUGCAUCGCCCCAAACCGGCCUCCUCUUCGCCGUUUCCCGCUCCUCCGGCCACCUCCCAUUUCACCGUCCCUGGCGCCGUCUGCAGCUGCGCCAAUGGGCUACAUGCAAAUUUUGGCCCAGAAUCGUUUUUAGCUCAAUUGGAAUGGGCCCCAAGAAUGUUGGCAUGUUGGGCUCCUACGAAGCUUUUGGCCGAAUACAUUACUAA
rnacentral:rRNA from 1 species